rnacentral:rRNA from 1 species
GACGAAGGGGGCUAGCGUUGUUCGGAAUUACUGGGCGUAAAGCGCGUGUAGGUGGUUGUCCAAGUUGGAUGUGAAAGCCUUGAGCUCAACUCAAGAAAUGCAUUCAGGACUGGGCGACUAGAGGACCGGAGAGGAUAGUGGAAUUCCCAGUGUAGUGGUGAAAUACGUAGAGAUUGGGAAGAACACCAGUGGCGAAGGCGGCUAUCUGGACGGUUUCUGACACUAAGACUCGAAAGCGUGGGGAGCAAACAGG